rnacentral:rRNA from 1 species
GAUGAACGCUGGCGGCGUGCCUAAUACAUGCAAGUCGAGCGAACAGACGAGGAGCUUGCUCCUCUGACGUUAGCGGCGGACGGGUGAGUAACACGUGGAUAACCUACCUAUAAGACUGGGAUAACUUCGGGAAACCGGAGCUAAUACCGGAUAAUAUAUUGAACCGCAUGGUUCAAUAGUGAAAGACGGUUUUGCUGUCACUUAUAGAUGGAUCCGCGCCGCAUUAGCUAGUUGGUAAGGUAACGGCUUACCAAGGCGACGAUGCGUAGCCGACCUGAGAGGGUGGUCGGCCACACUAGAACUGAGACACGGUCCAGACUCCUACGGGAGGCAGCAGUAGGGAAUCUUCCGCAAUGGGCGAAAGCCUGACGGAGCAACGCCGCGUGAGUGAUGAAGAUCUUCGGAUCGUAAAACUCUGUUAUUAGGGAAGAACAAAUGUGUAAGUAACUAUGCACGUCUUGACGGUACCUAAUCAGAAAGCCACGGCUAACUACGUG